rnacentral:rRNA from 1 species
CCUACGGGUGGCUGCAGUGAGGAAUAUUGGUCAAUGGCCGUAAGGCUGAACCAGCCAAGUCGCGUGAAGGAAGAAGGAUCUAUGGUUUGUAAACUUCUUUUAUAGGGGAAUAAAGGUAUCCACGUGUGGAUAUUUGCAUGUACCCUAUGAAUAAGCAUCGGCUAACUCCGUGCCAGCAGCCGCGGUAAUACGGAGGAUGCGAGCGUUAUCCGGAUUUAUUGGGUUUAAAGGGUGCGUAGGCGGUAUUUUAAGUUAGUGGUAAAACGUCGGGGCUUCACCUUGAUUGGCCAUUAAAACUGGAGUACUAGAGUACAGACGAGGUAGGCGGAAUAAGUUAAGUAGCGGUGAAAUGCUUAGAUAUAACUUAGAACCCCGAUAGCGAAGGCAGCUUACCAGACUGUUACUGACGCUGAAGCACGAGAGCGUGGGUAGCGAACAGGAUUAGAUACCCGGGUAGUC